ensembl:lncRNA
UGAGAAAAUUAUACAAGUUUUUGAAGACUACAAAGGACACUAUUUAUUAUUUGGCUUAGCUGCUGUCACUGUUUAUGAGCUACUACACACUUCUGUGUACCUGGAGGGAAUUAUUCCAAUAGAAUAUUAUAAUAUAAAACAUUUGAGUUAAGUAUACAUUUCUAUUUUUAAAAAGUAUUUUUCAUACAGUGGAUGUCAAAUUUGAAGGGACUUGAUUUGUUACAUCUGUAAACUGGAGAUUUCUAAUGCAGCAUCUAAAGCUGACAUUAAUUUUAAUUUGAAAGAAAUUAUUGGUUAUUUAGGUUAAGAUACUUGAAUUUUUCCGAUAUCUGUAUUUUGGAGCAUAAGGGGAAUCUGUAGAAUUUGUUUCAUCAAAAUGGCAUUCAGAGCUCUAUAACUUCUAGACAACUUUCAGAAGUCAUUUUAAGUGAGGGAUUUAACUUUUAAGUCACAUAUGAAUGGAAUGAUCAUCAACCAAAAGAGCUAAGAUUUUCACCUUCCCACACCAAACUGUUGGAUUUGAUAAGAGACUAAACUCAGAAAUUUGAAUUACCAGAAAGACCCCCAAUCAUUUAAAUAAAUCCUAUUAAAAAUAAUUCUCAGUCAAUAUGUCAAGUGAAAUUUUUAAAAAAUCCAGCCACAUUUAAUGAAGAAUGCUGACUUAAUAAAUACAAAUGUGUGCAUUGUGAUUUUCCAUCAUUUACCCAUCCUGAGGUAAAAGAGCUCAGCAGCAUCUACCUAAAUCCCUGUGAAGUGACUUACGACUUCACCCCGGACCCAGAGAAUUUGCCUGUAUGCAGCUUUGAGUUUGUCAAGCAUCAUUCUUCCAGCUGCUUCCCGGGCAACUCUCCAGUAGCAGCUUCAGAAAGUACCCAGGACAAGCAGAAAAAGAGUGUUCCUUCUUCGGGAGGGUCGGGAGGAAAUACUUUUAAUCAUGACUCAGAAAACAAGUUCAAAAUGCCAGGGCUUUCUGAUACCCAGAGUUAAAGACUCGACCCAAGAGCAGCCAGGGGGACGAGCGGGUCUGGGCGCGGGUGGAGGGCGGGUUUCCAGCCUUCCCAGCCACAGCUUCACAGGAGCCCUCGCUCGAGCACCUUUCUUCCUCUGAAAACAAAGAUAAGCCUGCCCCUUCCUUCCCUCCCUGAUUACUACCAUACCAGUAUCAGGCAGAAACUACGCACAGGCUUGUUGUUGCCUUUUAAGAAAAACAGUGCUCUGUCCUUCUAUAAGCUCACUUGGUUGCAUAUGAGGGAAAUGUUUGCAUGUUGAUUUACAAAGUGUUAUCUAAAAGUUUUAAAAUGAGAUUGUAGAGUUUCAGCACUAGAAGAUGAUUAAAUGUUCAUUGUGUCUGAGAUUCAUGGGAAAAUUGGCCAUAUCCUUGUUUUGCAGUCAUAUAUCUAACAUUUUACUUGGUGGUCCAGAAGAUUUCAGAUUUCUCAUUUACAUACCAAACUGCUCCAUUUUCACCUGAAUCUGUUUCUCCUUUAGUUUUCUUAUCUAAGUGUUGACCCAACCUUCCAGUUUCUAGAGUAUAGAUCUUUAGAGUUAUUCUUUUUCUCUCCUCUCUUUCUCUCCAAGCCACUUCUAAUCAGUUCACCCACACUUCUGGCCCUUAAUCAAAAUAUAUCAGCACUGACCACAUUUCUACCUGUUCCCUACCUUGGUCUAAGUCUCCAGCAUUUCUCACCUGAAAUGCUAAACAGGUCUCCUUGCUUCCAUCCUUGGCUUCUCAAGUCAGUUUAAAAACAUUAGGAGGAAUGAGACUUAAAAUACGAGCCUGAGCAUGUAACUCUUCUGAAAUCUCCCUGUGAGAAUAAAAAACCCAAGUCCUCACACUGGCACCUGAGAAGGGCUGAUACGAAGCUACUGAGUAGCAGAGUAGCAGAAUAGCAGUUCCUGAUCGGGCGCUUCACCUAUACAGUUCAGUGUAAACGUGGUUGGUCCUGUGAUCUUGACUUUUCUCAGACUGUCUCUUGAGAAUGAGAAAUUAAUGACUCCAUGAAUCUGUUGCCAAGUGGCCCAGCAGCUGGCCAAGCGUAGCUCCACCAUGGGAUGGGCUCUUCUGCUCCCUUUGUUGCUUUCUCCCGGACAGCCACAUGGCCAUUUCCCUCUUCUCCUGUGGGUCUUCAUCCAAGUGCCCCUUCUCAGCAAGGUCUCUCUUUUCCUGCUCACAAUGAAUUUCCUCUUCUCCUUUUCUGCUCUACUUCUUUGACAUCGCAUUUAUCACCCAACAUAUCAUAGAGCUCAUGGAUUUAUCAUAGUUUUCAUCUUCUGUCAGUAGAACAUGAACUCCACAAGGGCAGGACACUUGUUUGUUUACUGAAGCAUCACUGGUGCCUUGAACAGUGCCUGCAACUUAUAGAAAAUCCAAAAAGACUCCAUAAUGACAAGUUAUAUUACAGAGCAGCAAAUGGUAGGCACAGAGCAGCAAAUGGUAGGCAUGGGAAGAGUGUGGUUUUGUCAUUUUAACUUAAAAAUGUCUUAUUAUUCACCUUUUAAAGGGUAAAACUUCCCCUCUCUGAUAGUGAUGUGAUCAUGAACCAAAAAUUCUAUCUCCCUCUCUCCAAAUCUGAUCUCCAUCCCAGGCCUGUUUGGUAUGCAUUUCAACUUUGGAAAUGACACCAAGGUCAUUGGGCCUCAUGCCUGUCAUAUACACGGUUUGUACUUACACUUUGAGAGAUUACAAGAUACUUCAGAUGGAAAAUGAUUUGGGGAUUAAACCAUCAGAAAUUAUUCUUCAUUGAUUAUCCUAGUUAAUUACAAUUUUUAAAAACUGCAGAGACUUAAUGUAAUUCCCCCAGUAUUGGAAGCCAGUAUAAGACAGUAUGCCCAGCUAGUUGUUUUUCUGUAAAGGAAAGAGACUGAGGAGGAGGAAAAGAAAUUGUGGUCCCUUUUAUGCAACAAUUGUAAGAUGACUGCAGAAGUAUUUUGGUGUUUUUAAGAUUUAGCCAUGAUCUGGAAACAUAUAUUAAUCUGAAAAUACUUUUAACAGAAGUCUGAUGUUAAUUGGGUUUUACAUUUGAUAUUUUUACUAUUUAUUAUUUUAAAAAUGUAUAAUUUGGACACAAGAUGAUACAAAUCGCUCAUGCUCAUAUUCUGACUUUUCAGCUUUCCCUCCUCUUUAUUUUAAUUUCAGCCAUCAUUUUUAAAGCCUUGCAGUCUUACUCAUUCUUAGCCAUCUCCACAAUUUGUUUCCUACUGUUUGGACUGAAUUCUCCCCAAAUCCAGUGACCAAAUAGCCUGGAUAUGGGUUCUUGGUGAGAUGAGUUUCUGAUUUUUAUCCUUUGCUGUUUAUCUUUUCAUUCUUACCAAACCUCUUAUUCCUUUACUUAGCUGCAUCAUUGUGUCUUUCCCUACAUUGUAAUAAUUAAAAAAUUCAAACCUCCAGUUUUCUGAUCUCCUCCCAAGCCUCCUGCUAAGCAGGCCCUGGAAAUAAGCAGAUGGCAGGUAGUGUGGUGCAAGGUGCUUAACUGGAAGGAUAAGGACAAGAUCCCGCAUGUGAUUUCAGAAGUCAGCCAGGGUUAGUGGACUAGGGACAGGAGGCGUUUUUUCUCAUCGUGUACUAUGUAGUGUAAUGUUAAUAUAUACCUCCUCCUCAUCAGUGACACAAAAGAUGGCAACCAGGGUCAGUAGGUACUUGGAAAAGCCUUCUCUAGAGAAAAGAACAAUGGCUCCUGCUCAGGACCAAGGCAGAGUUUCCUGUGUGUCUUAUGCCCAGUCCCUGACCGUCCGUACAGUGGAUGUGGUUGCCUCUGUGGUGUGCUCGAGGCGAGCCUUGAGGAAUGUCCUUCACAUAACUGCAGAAACAAGGGCUCAAGUGUAAGAAUCUGCAGCACAUGAGGAUCUCGUAAGGCGUUUCUCCUCUGCUAAUUGUUUUCUUUUCAAAAGUUUUUAUUGAGUCCUAAGAGUACAUUCCUUAGAAAAUGUCAUUAAUUAUGUCCACUUUGUAAUGGAUUUAGAAAUUUUCGGAGAUGGGUACCUGUUUGCUAUAUUCUUAAAACCAUCAUAUUACUAUUUUAUUUCCUUUUUAAAGAGAUUAUUUCAUGGUCUUUGUCAAUUUGUGAG